AUGUGGCUUGACAUGAGCAUGCUGCAGGAGAUGUUCACCUCGCUGCCAAAGAAGUCAGGUCGACCUGGGAUGAUGCCAAUGCAACAGCCACCAGGGCGGGCAUCGUCAUCAUGACGGUCCAUCGACCCAACUAUGACAUCUUCACCAUAACGACGCGAGGUGGAUCGCCGUCUGCAGUAAACAGCCGUGUCGACAGGCACACUACUUUAAUAUACUGCCAACUGCGUUGGCGGAUAGGCAAAGAAAGUUGACGGCAGCACAUGCUCCCAUAAAACUAGGGCUAAAAUUAAACAAUUAAACCUAGCUGGACGACUUUUAUCGAAAGAACAAUUCACAGACGGAGAAGUCAGAUGACAUGCGAUGUCACUCAUUCAUUCAUGAGUGAAUGUCAUUCCCCCUUAAGAGAGAGAGAGAGCAAAUGAUAAAGGAAAGGUAGGGAGGUUAACCAGGACUGAGCCCGGUUGGCUACCCUACACUGGGGAAAGGGAAAAGGGGACGGAAAGAUUAAAAGAAGAGAAAGUCUACUGGGGAUAUCGUUAGUACACUUUUACUGACAUUUCAUUACGUGAUGAAUAAACUUGUUUGUGUA